rnacentral:lncRNA from 1 species
AACAGAGAGAAAUUUAUUUUAAUGGUAGUGGUCUCCAAAUCUGCCCACCUUUCUCAGCCCUCAAUGAACUGCAAUUCCCAGUAUUCACUCCCUUACAGAUCCUAGUCUACUUGAAUGUGGGUUGACAUGUGACUUGCUUCUGACCUGUUGAAGGCAGAAUAAGCAUCUUUAUGUUAUUUUCAAGGUUAACUCAGAAGAAGUCUGUGCUUACAUCUAUGUGUCUUGAAAUGCUAGCUCUAGGGGAAGCCAGCCACCUUGUAAGAAGUCCUACUACCUUGAAGCUGCCAUGGUGUGAAGGAACCCAAGACAGUUACAUGGAAAAGGAGAUCUUGGCUAGCCCCCAGUUAUUUAAGCUGUCCAAUUGCAAGCACCAGACAUCAAAAAGCAAAGCAAGAUGCAUCAUGAAAAGAUCACAUUUUCACAUUGGAAUUUGGGACUUAGUUGCCCCACCCCACCUAAAGCAUCAAAAGAAUUAGAAGCUAUAUCUUUAAUUUUUCCAAAUCAUCUAAAUGGAAGGAGAGCAAACCACAUGUCAAGGCCUCUACGGAAGUGACCUGGAACUCCAGCUGCAAACCCCAUGCCGUCAAAGCAGCCAGACUGGAAAUAGAGUGGCUGUGGGUACCCACAGGGAACCAGGAAACCACAUACUUCACAGGCAGCAGCAAUGCCAGAUGGAAGUGUAUCUGAAUAAAACACAUCCAGGAAAAAACACAGAAGAAGAGGUACUGUUUGGCUGAAAGAGACAAAGAGGACUGGGAGAAAGAGUAAACAGAAGACGAAAAAAAUUACAAUUUUGAUAAACUGGGAAUGGAGAAGUGAGCAUAACAAACAUGACCACAUUUCUAAAACACCUAAAGCAGAUGGUGAAAUAAAGUAGAUUUAAUAAUUCCACAACCCAAUAUGGGUGAUUAAAUGAGUACCAAUUUCUCCAAUAGACAAUGGAGGAGGGCGAGGAAUCAGAGUCAGCAAAAUCUGACAGCAGAAAUGAGAGGUGAGCAAGUCAUAGGUAACUGUAUUAGUCUGUUCUCACACUGCUAACAAAGACAUAACCGAGACUGGAUAAUUUAUAAAGGAAAGAAGUUUAAUUGACUCACUGUUCAUCAUGGCUGAGGAAGCCUCGGGAACCUUACAAUUAUGGUGGAAGGGGAAGCCAACACAUCCUUCUUCACAUGGUGGCAGCAAGGAGAAGUGCAGAGCGAAGUGGGGAGAAGCCCCUCAUAAAAUCAUCAGAUCUUGUGAGAAGUCUCUCACUAUCAUGAGAACAGCAUGAAGAUAACUACCCCCAUGAUUCAAUUACUUCCUACCGGGUCCCUCCCAAAACAUGUGAAGAUUAUGGGAACUCCAAUUCAAGAUGAGUUUUGGGUGGGGACACAACAAACCAUAUCAGUAACUCAUGGGAGAUGUCUUGCACAAGCUAACGUCGCUCAGUGGCUGGCUGAUAUUUCUUCUCCCCAGGCCAUAGUAAAGAAAUUUAUACAAGAGAAGUUGGCAAUAUAUUGGGGCUUUCAGUCGAUUGGCAAAUACUAACUUGUAGAAUAAGCAAUUCACUUAAUAAACGUAAUGUUGUAGCAAUACCAAAU